GAUGAACGCUGGCGGCGUGCCUAAUACAUGCAAGUCGAGCGAACGGACGAGAAGCUUGCUUCUCUGAUGUUAGCGGCGGACGGGUGAGUAACACGUGGAUAACCUACCUAUAAGACUGGGAUAACUUCGGGAAACCGUAGCUAAUACCGGAUAAUAUUUUGAACCGCAUGGUUCAAAAGUGAAAGACGGUCUUGCUGUAUCUUAUAGAUGGAUCCGCGCUGCAUUAGCUAGUUGGUAAGGUAACGGCUUACCAAGGCAACGAUGGGUAGCCGACCGGUGUGGGUGAUCGGCCACACUGGAACUGAGACACGGUCCAGACUCCUACGGGAGGCAGCAGUAGGGAAUCUUCCGCAAUGGGCGAAAGCCUGACGGAGCAACGCCGCGUGAGUGAUGAAGGUCUUCGGAUCGUAAAACUCUGUUAUUAGGGAAGAACAUAUGUGUAAGUAACUGUGCACAUCUUGACGGUUCCUAAUCAGAAAGCCACGGCUAACUACGUG
rnacentral:rRNA from 1 species